GGCUGCCUCCCUGUGAGAUCCCAGAUGCGCGGUCAUCACUGAGUGGCCUCAUAGUCGUCAACACGCACCGAGUGCUAACUCUCUACUCUCAGUGCUCUUUUUCAAAGGUACUGACUCAACCUUCCCACAAUUCCUCCAGAUGGAUACUAUUAUCAUCUUAUUUUACAAACGAGAACUAAGGCCCGGAGAGCUUAAGUAACCUGUCUCGUGCAGCAAAGAAAACAGCUCUGGGUGACAGGGUCUCGCCCGCAGUCAGGCACAGGUCCCGGGAGGUAGGGCGCCGCGGGGCCCCGCAGGCUGCUGCCAGCUGCCCGGCCGACUCACCCCCGCGGCCCCGCGGCUGGGCAGCGCGCUCAGCGCCCUCCGCACACCCACCAAGGCUGCCCCUCCAGGAGCUGAGCGCUGUGCAAACGCUGCAGAAGGCCUGAAAUCCCGCCAACCUGUGGGAAAUACUUCAUGUUAGAAGAUCAAGUCAGACCUACAGGAAAGCACGGUGACAAACCCAAAGCGGUUUCGCGGCGGUCAAGAAUAAGUGCUGGCCCACCGCUGAGCUGCGCCCAAAGCCUCGGAUUCUUCCAAGAAGCGGUUCCCUCCACGGCAGCCAACGUUUCCAGGACCUCGGAGACAAUGGGCGUUCCUGUCGCGCUCUCCUGCCCGGUGCCUCUCGGAGCUGCUUUGUGCCCAGAGUAGAUUCUGAGGAAGGAGGCAGCACGACCAGCGUCCCUCUCUUUCCCUCGUUCCAGAUCCAUCCCUGCACCUACUAAUUGGGAUGAGUUGCACUCAAGUCACUUUUGUAAAGUCGUUUUGUGAUGAAAGGAGCACAGAACAUCAACUUUUCCUCAGAGCCCAGCCACGCACCCCCAGGGCUGCUGUUCUCCCAGCACCAUGCAUGUUACAGAUUACAGGUCUGAUUCGGAGCACAUCCCAUGCCCACAGUGACCACUGCUCAGAUCUGGCUUCCCUGCUCUCACCUCUCUGCUCACCUCGUCCUGCAGACCUGCCUCCCUAGAAGGAGAAGCCUGGCAUCCAUACACAGCUGGUCCUAAACGACCUGCUCAGCAGGUUAUUCACCAACCGCAGACUCAAAAUAUCAAAACUGGCGUUAAAAACUGUCGUGACCCCAUCAGUUAAGGGAACAGACACCACAAAACACAGGGAAAGACAUUUGAUAUCUGAUUAUCUGCGUGAAUAAGGGGAAGAGAGAGAGGAAAGACUGGAGGUGGAGAAGAUCAAUCCGUUAGUUGGUCAGGCAUCUCACGUGCAUCCCACGCCUCUUGUGCCCCACGGCCCGCUCCGUCCAGUUCUGCCCUGACAGAGGCCUGCGGGAGCAGACACUCUCAGAUUAGAAGGCCCACUCAGGGGUGAUUGAAAGCAGACACUUAGGAAGAUUGGUUUUAGGCUCUGAAGGCUAAUGGCAACCACUGUGACUUCCCUGGCAGCACGCCCCGACUUCAUCUUCCUAAGUGAUAACUAACGACGCUUCACCUGCAUCGUCUGGAAGCAAGGGAGCCUGGGCCAUCCCUGCCAGUCAGUGACCUGCAAGGAGAACAUCAACCUCUCGUAAUCCAAGAUAUUAAAAUUAAUAAGGAGAGGGGCCAGCCCAGUGGCAUAGUGAUUAAGUUGGCGCACUCUGCUUUUUGGGCCCAGGUUCACUGGUUCAGACCAACUGCAGACCUGCAGCGCUCAUCAGCCAGGCUGUGCCGGCGUCCUGCGCACGAAAUAGAGGAAGACUGGCACAGAGGUUAGCUCAGGGCUACUCUUCCUUAGAAAAAAAAUUAAUAAAGAGAGGCUCAUUUUUCACCUAUAAAAUUGACAAAUAAAUUUUAAAUUGCAAUAAAAAGCAUCUAUACACAGCUAGUCAGGAAUAUGUGCUUUCAGGAGAAUAAUUUAGCAAUAUCAAGCGAAGUCUUUAAAAAUGUGCCAAACUUUAACAUAAAGAGGAAUCUCACAGAUGUUCAUUACAGCGAUAAUUAUAAUGACAAAAGAAAUAUCAGACUCAGCCUAAAGUUUUCAUAAUAGGGAAUUGGGUAAAUA